UCUGGUUAGGACCUGGGUCCAAGACCGUAAAAUCUAGACCCACCGAAGGGGUGUCUGGCCCUGAGCUGGAACUAGCUAAAAUCUUAAUUUCUCCUGUAAAGUCAUCAUCAACCAGGGAAGGGUGAACAAUGAGGCCCUUGAUGGUGGACGAGGCGCGUCCCAGAAUGAAAAAAAAAAAAAAUUAGGGGGAGGAGGACCAAAAACACCAGUAGGGACAGUGCUUAGAGGCACUCCGGAUGGUCCAGCAUUUGACAUAGUUUCAAGCUUUUCUAACAAAACGAGGCUGCCUUGAAUCCCUGGCAACAAGUUUGAAAACACCUAAAUCCGCGUGUGGCAUAUGCCCUGGCAGACUUUGAGGGGUUCGUGCUAUGAGAUCCGAAGUCCUGAUGAGAUUGAUAAAGACAAAGAAGCAGGGCCUAUGGUGGGUCCAUGUGCGCCAAGUGUGUCUUUGACAGGAUCAAGCUGGGUUUCCUUAUUGAGGAGCAGAAAAUCAUUGUGAAAGUAUUAAAGGCAAAAGCACAGAGUGAGAAAGCAAAAUAAAUAUGCAACUUUUUAAAGUAAUAAAAAUCAAGACUUGGUCUACUGUUAAAGACCAUCACAUUAACUUAGUUAACGUUCCAUAAUCGUAAAGAGAUGAUGAUGAUGAUGAUGACUUGUCUUUAGCAAAGGCAAUGGUUCCUCACCUCUAGAGAAA
rnacentral:lncRNA from 1 species